AGAUUGAACGCUGGCGGCAGGCCUAACACAUGCAAGUCGAGCGGCAGCACGGGUACUUGUACCUGGUGGCGAGCGGCGGACGGGUGAGUAAUGCCUAGGAAUCUGCCUGGUAGUGGGGGAUAACGCUCGGAAACGGACGCUAAUACCGCAUACGUCCUACGGGAGAAAGCAGGGGACCUUCGGGCCUUGCGCUAUCAGAUGAGCCUAGGUCGGAUUAGCUAGUUGGUGAGGUAAUGGCUCACCAAGGCGACGAUCCGUAACUGGUCUGAGAGGAUGAUCAGUCACACUGGAACUGGAGACA
rnacentral:rRNA from 1 species